UACGCGGGUGCACCAAUAACCGGUGUGAGAGAAGAGUGAAAUAAUAAUAACGGAGAGCUCCCUAAAGAAGAUCGUCGAAGACAAGGACACACAGAGACGAUUAAAAGAUUGCGAGCAGUGUGAGGGUAGGUGCUGCGUCUUACUCCCCGCUGGAUCCCUACAGCCAGUAGCACCUGGUGAGUGAACUUCCAGCACUGGCCAGAGGGGGCGCUGGUAAUCCGGGUAAGCCACCUGAUCUAGGAAUGCGGGAGAUGCUGAGCGGUCAAGGGCACUGCACACUUCCCUGGAGGCCAGCUACUGAACAUACAUCAUUCCGUCCUUACCACCCUGUGAAGUAAGUGCUGUCGUUCCUGUUUUGCAAGCUAAUUUCACACACUAUAUUCGUGUGCUAGGGCUGUGCAAACAAAAUCCCACCGACUGGGCGGCUUAAACAAUGGAGAUUUAUUUGUUCACAGCCCUGGAGGCUGGAAGUCCAAGCUCAAGGUGCCAACAGAGUCGGUGUCCUCUGAGGCCUCCCUCCUGCUGCCUCUACACACGGGCUUUCCUCUGU